rnacentral:rRNA from 1 species
CAGCCGCCGCGGGAAUACGAAGGGUGCAAGCGUUAAUCGGAAUUACUGGGCGUAAAGCGUGCGUAGGCGGUGAGUUAAGUCUGCUGUGAAAUCCCCGGGCUCAACCUGGGAAUGGCAGUGGAUACUGGCUCGCUAGAGUGUGUCAGAGGAUGGUGGAAUUCCCGGUGUAGCGGUGAAAUGCGUAGAGAUCGGGAGGAACAUCAGUGGCGAAGGCGGCCAUCCGGGACAACACUGACGCUGAGGCACGAAAGCGUGGGGAGCAAACAGGAUUAGAUACCCCCGUAGUCCCUGUCUCUUAUAA